UACGUAGGGUGCAAGCGUUGUCCGGAAUUAUUGGGCGUAAAGAGCUCGUAGGCGGCUUGUCGCGUCUGCUGUGAAAUCCCGGAGCUCAACUCCGGGCCUGCAGUGGGUACGGGCAGGCUAGAGUGCGGUAGGGGAGAUUGGAAUUCCUGGUGUAGCGGUGGAAUGCGCAGAUAUCAGGAGGAACACCGAUGGCGAAGGCAGUCUUCCAAGCCGUUAUUGACGCUCAACUGCGAAGGUGUGGGUAUCAAACAGGAUUAGA
rnacentral:rRNA from 1 species